rnacentral:rRNA from 1 species
GAUGAACGCUAGCUACAGGCUUAACACAUGCAAGUCGAGGGGCAGCGGGAUUGAAGCUGCUCAAUUGCCGGCGACCGGCGCACGGGUGAGUAACGCGUAUCCAACCUUCCGUACACUCAGGGAUAGCCUUUCGAAAGAAAGAUUAAUACCUGAUGGUAUCUUAAGCACACAUGUAAUUAAGAUUAAAGAUUUAUCGGUGUACGAUGGGGAUGCGUUCCAUUAGGUAGUAGGCGGGGUAACGGCCCACCUAGCCAACGAUGGAUAGGGGUUCUGAGAGGAAGGUCCCCCACAUUGGAACUGAGACACGGUCCAAACUCCUACGGGAGGCAGCAGUGAGGAAUAUUGGUCAAUGGACGAGAGUCUGAACCAGCCAAGUAGCGUGAAGGAUGAAGGUCCUACGGAUUGUAAACUUCUUUUAUAAGGGAAUAAACCCUCCCACGUGUGGGAGCUUGUAUGUACCUUAUGAAUAAGCAUCGGCUAACUCCGUG